CCAUGGGUGGUUCAGUGGUAGAAUGCUCGCCUGCCACGCGGGCGGGCGGGUUCGAUUCCCGGCCGAUGCA